AAAACGACUCUCGGCAACGGAUAUCUAGGCUCUCGCAUCGAUGAAGAACGUAGCAAAAUGCGAUACUUGGUGUGAAUUGCAGAAUCCCGUGAACCAUCGAGUUUUUGAACGCAAGUUGCGCCCGAAGCCAUUAGGCCAAGGGCACGUCUGCCUGGGCGUCACGC
rnacentral:rRNA from 1 species